rnacentral:rRNA from 1 species
CCUACGGGAGGCAGCAGUGGGGGAUAUUGCACAAUGGGGGAAACCCUGAUGCCUCUCCUCCGCUUUCUUUCCUCCUUCUUUCUUUCUUUCCCUCUCUCUCAUCCAUGAAGAAAAUGACAGUACCUGACCAAGAAGCCCCGGCUAACUACGUGCCAGCAGCCGCGGUAAUACGUAGGGGGCAAGCGUUAUCCGGAUUUACUGGGUGUAAAGGGAGCGUAGACGGUUAUGUAAGUCUGGAGUGAAAGCCCGGGGCCCAACCCCGGGACUGCUUUGGAAACUGUGUAACUGGAGUACAGGAGGGGCAGGCGGAAUUCCUGGUGUAGCGGUGAAAUGCGUAGAUAUCAGGAGGAACACCGGCGGCGAAGGCGGCCUGCUGGACUGAAACUGACGUUGAGGCUCGAAAGCGUGGGGAGCAAACAGGAUUAGAUACCCCAGUAGUC